ACAAUGAAGAGUUUGAUCCUGGCUCAGGAUGAACGCUAGCUACAGGCUUAACACAUGCAAGUCGAGGGGCAUCAGGAAGAAAGCUUGCUUUCUUUGCUGGCGACCGGCGCACGGGUGAGUAACACGUAUCCAACCUGCCCUUUACUCGGGGAUAGCCUUUCGAAAGAAAGAUUAAUACCCGAUGGGAUAAUCAUUCCGCAUGGUUUGAUUAUUAAAGGAUUCCGGUAAAGGAUGGGGAUGCGUUCCAUUAGGUUGUUGGUGAGGUAACGGCCCACCAAGCCUUCGAUGGAUAGGGGUUCUGAGAGGAAGGUCCCCCACAUUGGAACUGAGACACGGUCCAAACUCCUACGGGAGGCAGCAGUG
rnacentral:rRNA from 1 species